CGGAGUAAUGCGUGACCAACCUGCCCCAUGCUCCAGAAUAGCUCUUGGAAACGGGUGAUAAUGCUGGAUGCUCCAACUUGACGCAUGUCUUGUUGGGAAAGUGUUUAGUGGCAUGGGAUGGGGGUCGCGUCCUAUCAGCUUGUAGGCGGGGUAAUGGCCCACCUAGGCUUCGACGGGUAGCCGGCCUGAGAGGGCGGACGGCCACAUUGGGACUGAGAUACGGCCCAGACUCCUACGGGAGGCAGCAGCU
rnacentral:rRNA from 1 species